rnacentral:ncRNA from 1 species
GAUCCUGCAAGUCGGGACCCGAAAGAUGGGGAUCUAUGCCUGAGGAGGUUGAAGCCAGAGGAAACUCUGGUGGAGGACCGUAGCGAUUCUGACGUGCAAAUCGAUCGUCAAAUUUGGGUAUAGGGGCGAAAGACUAAUCGAACCGUCUAGUAGCUGGUUCCCUUCGAAGUUUCCCUCAGGAUAGCUGGCGCUCUGUCGCAGUUUUAUCUGGUAAAGCGAAUGAUUAGAGGUCUUGGGGGCGAAACGCCCUCAACCUAUUCUCAAACUUUAAAUUGGUAAGAAGCCCGACUCGCUCGUUUGGAGCCGGGCAUGGAAUGCGAGUGCCAAGUGGGCCACUCUUGGUAAGCAGGACUGGCGAUGCGGGAUGAACCGAACGCCGGGUUAAGGCGCCCGACGCGACGCUCAUCAGAGCCCACAAAAGGUGUUGGUUGAUAUAGACAGCAGGACGGUGGCCAUGGAAGUCGGAAACCGCUAAGGAGUGUGUAACAACUCACCUGCCGAAUCAAUCAGCCCUGAAAAUGGAUGGCGCUGGAGCGUCGGGCCUAUACCCGGCCGUCGCGGCGGUACGAGCAUCGAGUUGGUGCGCUAGGCCGCGACGAGUAGGAGGGCCGCGGCGGCGGGCGU